rnacentral:rRNA from 1 species
GAGUUUGAUCCUGGCUCAGGACGAACGCUGGCGGCGCGCCUAACACAUGCAAGUCGAACGAGCGAGAGGGAGCUUGCUUUCUCGAGCGAGUGGCGAACGGGUGAGUAACGCGUGAGGAACCUGCCUCAAAGAGGGGGACAACAGUUGGAAACGACUGCUAAUACCGCAUAAGCCCACAGGUCGGCAUCGACCAGAGGGAAAAGGAGCAAUCCGCUUUGAGAUGGCCUCGCGUCCGAUUAGCUAGUUGGUGAGGUAACGGCCCACCAAGGCGACGAUCGGUAGCCGGACUGAGAGGUUGAUCGGCCACAUUGGGACUGAGAUACGGCCCAGACUCCUACGGGAGGCAGCAGUGGGGGAUAUUAGACAAUGGGGGAAACCCUGAUCUAGCAACGCCGCGUGAAGGAUGAAGGUCUUCGGAUUGUAAACUUCUUCGACGAGGGAAGAUAAUGACGGUACCUCGAGAACAAGCCACGGCUAACUACGUGCCAGCCGCCGCGGUAAUAC